rnacentral:rRNA from 1 species
AUGGCAGGCCUUGGUAGCUCGUCCGCCACCAACUCCGGGAGACGCCUCCCUUUAAUCGAUUGCUCGACUGCGGUAUGGUGGUUCUUCAAGUGCGAGAUGCACAAGGUUACAUGCGAUUUUUGGCACUGGGAGCAGAGUUAUGAGGCAUAUCUCAUUGAGCAUGGUCAUCUGAAUGAUGGUGGACAUGAAUAUGUAGCUGUACAGGAGAUGGAGGCUACCAUGUUGAAGAAGAAGGAGGAGGAGGCCACCAUGUUGAAGAAGAAGAAGGAGGAGGAGGAGGCCACCAUGUUGAAGAAGAAGAAGAAGGAGGAGGAGGAGGAGGAGGACGCAUGGAAGGAGAUGGAGAAGGGUGAAAUGAUGAUGUUGAUGAUGGCACUAUUAAAUUUAGGGUUUGAAGUAGUUAAGUUGUUGAAAUGUGUUAUUGUGCUACUACUUGUGAUGGUUGUUGUAGGAGUAGUUGCAUUUUGA